GAUGAACGCUGGCGGCGUGCCUAAUACAUGCAAGUCGAGCGAACGGACGAGAAGCUUGCUUCUCUGAUGUUAGCGGCGGACGGGUGAGUAACACGUGGAUAACCUACCUAUAAGACUGGGAUAACUUCGGGAAACCGGAGCUAAUACCGGAUAAUAUUUUGAACCGCAUGGUUCAAAAGUGAAAGACGGUCUUGCUGUCACUUAUAGAUGGAUCCGCGCUGCAUUAGCUAGUUGGUAAGGUAACGGCUUACCAAGGCAACGAUGCAUAGCCGACCUGAGAGGGUGAUCGGCCACACUGGAACUGAGACACGGUCCAGACUCCUACGGGAGGCAGCAGUAGGGAAUCUUCCGCGAUGGGCGAAGGCCUGACGGAGCAACGCCGCGUGAGUGAUGAAGGUCUUCGGAUCGUAAAACUCUGUUAUUAGGGAAGAACAUUUGUGUAAGUAACUGUGCACAUCUUGACGGUACCUAAUCAGAAAGCCACGGCUAACUACGUG
rnacentral:rRNA from 1 species